GAGAGAUGUAGGGCGGCCGACGGUAGGACCUCUGGUCCGGCUGAGGAACUUCCCUCCUCCACAGGGCAAGAUGAACCGGGAAAUCCGGUAAGGCGAGAGCUUUGGCAAGGGCCCAGAAACGACACAGCCUCGGUAAACAGGAUGACCUGCUGACAGCGACGUUCCCGAGGAUAUGGUGAAACGGCGACACCUCAUCGGAGCAAACUCAUACAGCCGGGUUGAAGUGCCCCUGACCGGCGGGUAGAGCGCAUAGUCGAAUGCCGCCUGAAACAGAAGGGGGGGUACUAACAUGACUC
rnacentral:RNase_P_RNA from 1 species